GACGAACGUUGGCGGCGUGCCUAAUACAUGCAAGUCAACUGAAAUACCGGUAGCAAUACUGGUAUGGAGGUGGCGCACGGGUGAGUAACACGUAGGUAAUCUGCCUUCAGGUCUGACAUAACCCAUCGAAAGGUGAGCUAAUAUCAGAUGAUGCAGCGGCUUGACAUCAAGACAGUUGUUAAAGCUUCGGCGCCUGAAGAUGAGCCNGCGUCUGAUUAGCUAGUUGGCGGGUAACGCCCACCAAGGCUGCGAUCAGUAGCUGGUCUGAGAGGAUGAUCAGUCACACUGGAACUGAGACACGGUCCAGACUCCUACGGGAGCAGCAGUAAGAAUAUUGCUCAAUGGCCGAAAGGCU
rnacentral:rRNA from 1 species